rnacentral:lncRNA from 1 species
GAUGGCACCAUGGGAUCACUCAUGAAUUUUAGGAUAAUCAAAAGGAGGCCCAAGAAGUUAGUCCAUCACCAGUCAGUCACUAUGUCAAAACUAAGUACUAAGCACUAAUAACAGAUACAGAGAUAGUUAAAAGGCCAGAUAUUAAUGACCAACAUUAACUAUGGAAACAACAAGAAAACAAAGCAAAUGUUGCCCAGUGGCUUUUGGAAUUACAUGGUACACAAUAUGAAGGAACUGAAAAUGCUGGCCAUGGGCAACUAAUAUGCUACCAUUGCUGACAUUUCUUCUGGUAACCACAAAGGCAUGAGGGGAAGAAUUACACCACUAACCAUCAGAAGCUCUAACACGGAAGCCAGACAACAAACAAGAGAAAAUCAA